UACGGAGGGGGCUAGCGUUGUUCGGAAUUACUGGGCGUAAAGCGCGCGUAGGCGGACCUGCAAGUCGGGGGUGAAAGCCCAAGGCUCAACCUCGGAACUGCCUUCGAUACUGCGGGUCUCGAGUCCGGGAGAGGUGAGUGGAAUUCCUAGUGUAGAGGUGAAAUUCGUAGAUAUUAGGAAGAACACCAGUGGCGAAGGCGGCUCACUGGCCCGGUACUGACGCUGAGGCGCGAAAGCGUGGGGAGCAAACAGG
rnacentral:rRNA from 1 species